AAACCGUUCAGGGGUAAACCUGAGAAACCCAAAAGAUCGAAUGGGGAGAUUCAUCGUCAACGGCCGCUGGCUCCCGUUGGUUCGCGAUGCCCCGCAACGGACCCUCGCGGUUCGUGUAGCGUGCGGGCACGCAACCUUCGGCGAUUGUUUCGGCGUCGUAGUCGUGCACUUCUCCCCUAGUAGAACGUCGCGACCCGUUGUGUGUCGGUCUACGGCCCGAGCGGUAGCCUGUCGCUUCGCCUCGUGCGUUCGCGACAGACCCUCGGUCGCCCGGCCGGCUGCACGACGGUACUCGCACGGUAUCGGGCCGCAACCAAUCCAUUCUCGAAUGUGUGUGCGUCAGGCCCGCCGCAAGCUCGGUCAGUUUACCCGGAGGCACGGACCUGGUGCCGUCCCCGGGCCUGGCCAGCUGUUGGCAGGCGGUGUCCUCGGACUGGCCAAGCUUCGAAUUACCGGUCGGCGACGCUAUUGCUUUGGGUACUCUCAGGACCCGUCUUGAAACACGGACCAAGGAGUCUAACAUGUGCGCGAGUCAUUGGGACAAUUAAACCUAAAGGCGCAAUGAAAGUGAAGGUCGUCCUUCGACCGGUUGACCGAGGGAGGAUGGGCCGCGUAACUAUGCGGCCUCGCACUCCCGGGGCGUCUCGUCUCACUACGAGAAGAGGCGCACCCAGAGCGUACACGUU
rnacentral:rRNA from 1 species